ensembl:lncRNA
GAAAAAUAGUGCACUCAUCAAUACUAACCGCAUAACCGUGAAAUGCUGAUUCAGGAAGAGCAGGUUUUCGUCUGGAGAAAGCCUUAAAGUUUGAGAUGCAUGAAUGCGGGAUUCUCCACAGAUCGUCCUCUGGUUUCUCUCGCUGCAUCUCACAUCCUGAGACAUCAAACGGCUGUCAGACUCAGAACAUGAAAGUGUGCAUGCUGAGAGACUCACACCAUCUGAGCCGCUUUCAUUCUCCUGAAAACAACCCAGACAUGGAGACUUGACCCAUCCAGCAUAUCCAGAUUGGUGCAACACAAACCCAGAUACAUCUGAAGAUUCUGGGUAUUAAAAACGAUAUGAGAAGUCCCAGGCCUGCC